GGCCAUUUCCUUCGUGUGUCGUCGCUGAGAGGAGCUCUGGUGGGUUGUGGAGUUCGGCUAUCAUGGCAGAAAUAACUCAGGAACGUUUAGAGGAUCGACUUUUCGAAUUACAACAGUUGGAGCGCACUGGACUCUUCAGUGAGGCUGAGACUAGGGCAAUCAUUAGGAAGGCUUCAGAACUAGAAUAUGAAAUACAGCGAAGAAGUCUUUCAAAGGACAGCUUUAUCAGAUAUGUUCAGUAUGAAAUUUACCUUUUGGAGCUGAUCCACAAAAGAAGAGCUAGUGUUGGAUAUACAUUUAAGAAGGAUGAGAUCGAGGACCCUAUGAUACGUCGGAUACAGAGUGUCUUCCAACGUGCAACGAUUAAGUGGAAAGAUGAUGUUAAACUUAAGCUGUCUUUUGUAGCCUUUUGUAGGAAGUGGGCUGCCAAUGUUCAACUUAGCAAGUUAUUUUCUUCCUUGUUGGCCUUUCAUUCGAACAAGCCAGGUUUGUGGAUUUUGGCGGCGAAAUGGGAAAUGGAAGACCGCUUGUCUUCAGAAAGUGCAAGACAGCUAUUUCUUCGGGCUCUGCGCUUUCACCAACGUUACCCGAAACUUUAUGAAGAAUACUUUAGGAUGGAGCUGAUGCAUGCUGAAAAAUUGAGGAAGGAAAAGCAAGAGUUUGAAAAAGCCAACAUGGAUGUGGGGAAUUUCGAGCAUGCUGAAGAAGUCCUUACGGGCGAGUUGGCACGGAUCAUCUAUAAGAAUUCUAUAAGUGUAAUUAAAAGUGCAAAAUUUCAUGUGUCACUGCUUUCAAUUGCACAGCAGUUCGACUUUGCCAAAGAUCUGCAAAGAGAAAUUUACAAUGACCUUAAGGCUCUACACACAGACGACCCCCUCACUUGGGACUAUGUGGCCCGGCAAGAAUUAGUGAUUAAAUCACAGCCAGGAGAAGAGCUGCCUACAACUAAAGAAGCCAAAGCGAAGGAGGUGGGCCGCCGGGAAGAGAGGUGCUGUGCUGUGUACGAGGAGGCGGUAAAAACUCUGCCCACAGAGGCUAUGUGGAAGUAUUACAUGAACUUCUGCAUGGAGAGAUUUACUAAGAAGACAAGCAGUCGCCUCCUCAGAAAGAAGAGACUUGAAAGAACCAUGGCUACAUUCUGGAAGGCACAUGAGCUGAAACUUUUACCAGAAUUCCAGUACAGGCAGUUGAGCAAGUUGUUGCUGUACCGACAGUUGUUUAAGGAAUCCCUGGAGGUGGCAGACGCUGGGGUGGAAUUGUUCAGAAAAUCAGUGGAGAUGUGGCAGGUGAAGCUGGAGGCCCUGAUUUCAUCAGAGAGCCAGGAGAUGACCAAGGUUUUUAACCAAGGCUGAGUACCUGAAACCCCAGAUUUGUCUUCCAUUGUGGCUUACUUGGGCACAGUGUAGUGAAGAGAUUGGAAAGCAAGAAGAAGCUGAAAUGAUCUAUAAGAGAGCUGUCUUUCGUCUCCCAGGAGAUGACUCAGCCACUAUGAAGGAAAUGUACCUGGCUUGGGCUUAUCGAAGUGGUGGUUACGAAAAGGCCAGAGAUGUAUUUAAAAGUUUACAGGAAAACCGUCCAUUUUCAGUUGAUUUUUUCAGGAAGAUGAUUGAGUUUGAGAAGGAGCAAGAAUCCUGUUAGAUGGAAAACUUGAGAGAGUAUUAUGAGAGGGCUUUGAGAGAAUUUGGAACUGUUGAUUCUGAUCUCUGGAUGGAUUACAUCAAAGAAGAAUUGAACCACCCACUUGGUAGACCUGAGAACUGCGGACAGCUCUAUUGGCGAGCCAUGAAAGUGUUGCAGGGAGAGUCAGUAGAGCAGUUCAUGUCUAAACAUGCUUUGCAUCAAGCCGGCCGUUUGUGAAAAGAGGAAGAGCACAGUCACCUUUGUGAAAUAGUGCU